AUGACCAAUCAAGAGUCAUCAAUAUCCAUCGAAGUUUUCGGUAUCACCAAAGUCAAAGUAUGGCUUGCCAAAACCUUUGAAGUCGCCGGCAAACCCAUUCCCGAAUUCCCAUACACUCCAUGCAAUGUCUCUCACUUACACCAUCUCUCUACACUAUCCAAAGCCAAAGACAAAGCCGGUCAUCUCGUUGCGCGCGAUUUUCACUUCAAAGCCUCUGAAUAUAGAUCUCAAGCUGCAAGGAUUAGGGAAAUUCUAGAGAAUAUAGAUUUGGCUUAG